AGCGAACGCUGGCGGCAGGCCUAACACAUGCAAGUCGAACGGACCCUUCGGGGUUAGUGGCGGACGGGUGAGUAACACGUGGGAACGUGCCCUUUGGUUCGGAACAACUCAGGGAAACUUGAGCUAAUACCGAAUGUGCCCUUCGGGGGAAAGUUUUAUCGCCAUUGGAGCGGCCCGCGUCUGAUUAGCUAGUUGGUGGGGUAAUGGCCUACCAAGGCGACGAUCAGUAGCUGGUCUGAGAGGAUGAUCAGCCACAUUGGGACUGAGACACGGCCCAAACUCCUACGGGAGGCAGCAGUGGGGAAUCUUGUGCAAUGGGCGAAAGCCUGACGCAGCCAUGCCGCGUGAAUGAUGAAGGUCUUAGGAUUGUAAGAUUCUUUCACCGGGGACGAUAAUGACGGUACCCGGAGAAGAAGCCCCGGCUAACUUCGUGCCAGCCGCCGCCGUAACAC
rnacentral:rRNA from 1 species